AUGAACGCUGGCGGCGUGCCUAAUACAUGCAAGUCGAGCGAACGGACGAGAAGCUUGCUUCUCUGAUGUUAGCGGCAGACGGGUGAGUAACACGUGGAUAACCUACCUAUAAGACUGGGAUAACUUCGGGAAACCGGAGCUAAUACCGGAUAAUAUUUUGAACCGCAUGGUUCAAAAGUGAAAGACGGUCUUGCUGUCACUUAUAGAUGGAUCCGCGCUGCAUUAGCUAGUUGGUAAGGUAACGGCUUACCAAGGCAACGAUGCAUAGCCGACCUGAGAGGGUGAUCGGCCACACUGGAACUGAGACACGGUCCAGACUCCUACGGGAGGCAGCAGUAGGGAAUCUUCCGCAAUGGGCGAAAGCCUGACGGAGCAACGCCGCGUGAGUGAUGAAGGUCUUCGGAUCGUAAAACUCUGUUAUUAGGGAAGAACAUAUGUGUAAGUAACUGUGCACAUCUUGACGGUACCUAAUCAGAAAGCCACGGCUAACUACGUG
rnacentral:rRNA from 1 species